AACUGCCGCUACUUGGAGAACGAAGGGAUUGAGAUCGAUGGUAUAUCAUCAAAAGCAGUAAAUGACCCU
rnacentral:ribozyme from 1 species